UACGUAGGUGGCAAGCGUUAUCCGGAUUUAUUGGGCGUAAAGGGAACGCAGGCGGUCUUUUAAGUCUGAUGUGAAAGCCUUCGGCUCAACCGGAGAAUUGCAUCAGAAACUGUUGAACUUGAGUGCAGAAGAGGAGAGUGGAACUCCAUGUGUAGCGGUGGAAUGCGUAGAUAUACGGAGGAACACCAGUGGCGAAGGCGGCUUUCUGGACUGUAACUGACACUGAGGUACGAAAGCGUGGGGAGCAAACAGG
rnacentral:rRNA from 1 species